UCCUCUUCAUCGGGGUCAUCCUC
rnacentral:miRNA from 1 species